rnacentral:rRNA from 1 species
UACGGGGGGAGCAAGCGUUGUUCGGAUUUACUGGGCGUAAAGGGCGCGUAGGCGGCCACCGCAAGUCAGUUGUGAAAUCUCUGGGCUUAACCCAGAAAGGUCAACUGAUACUGCGGGGCUAGAGUGCAGAAGGGGCAACUGGAAUUCUCGGUGUAGCGGUGAAAUGCGUAGAUAUCGAGAGGAACACCUGCGGCGAAGGCGGGUUGCUGGGCCGACACUGACGCUGAGGUGCGAAAGCGUGGGGAGCAAACAGG